AGUCGAGCGAUGAACACCUUCGGGUGUGAAUUAGCGGCGAACGGGUGAGGAACACGUGAAGAAUCUGCCUUCAACUCUGGGAUAACUCCGGGAAACCGGGGCUAAUACCGGAUAUGAGCCUCGAUCGCAUGAUUGGGGCUGGAAAGUUUUUCGGUUGAAGAUGACUUCGCGGCCUAUCAGCUUGUUGGUGAGGUAAUGGCUCACCAAGGCGACGACGGGUAGCCGGCCUGAGAGGGCGACCGGCCACACUGGGACUGAGACACGGCCCAGACUCCUACGGGAGGCAGCAGUGGGGAAUAUUGGGCAAUGGAGGAAACUCUGACCCAGCGACGCCGCGUGAGGGAUGAAGGCCUUCGGGUUGUAAACCUCUUUCAGUAGGGAAGAAGCGAAAGUGACGGUACCUACAGAAGAAGCACCGGCUAACUAUGUGCCAGCAGCCGCGGUAAUACAUAGGGUGCAAGCGUUGUCCGGAAUUAUUGGGCGUAAAGAGCUCGUAGGUGGUUCGAUACGUCGGAUGUGAAAAUCAGGGGCUCAACCCCUGACCUGCAUCCGAUACGGUCGAGCUAGAGUUUGGUAGGGGAGACCGGAAUUCCUGGUGUAGCGGUGGAAUGCGCAAAUAUCAGGAGGAACACCGAUGGCGAAGGCAGGUCUCUGGGCCAAUACUGACACUGAGGAGCGAAAGCGUGGGGAGCGAACAGGAUUAGAUACCCUGGUAGUCCACGCCGUAAACGGUGGGCGCUAGUUGUGCGAACCUUCCACGGUUUGUGCGACGCAGCUAACGCAUUAAGCGCCCCGCCUGGGGAGUACGAUCGCAAGAUUAAAACUCAAAGGAA
rnacentral:rRNA from 1 species